GAGGGAUGAGCUCAAAUUUGUAAUCUGGCAGUCUUUGAUUGUCCGAGUUGUAAUCUAGAGAAGUGCUACMCAGCGCUGGACCGUGUACAAGUCUCCUGGAAUGGAGCGUCAUAGAGGGUGAGAAUCCCGUCUCUGACACGGACUGCCAGUGUGUUGUGGUGUGCUCUCAAAGAGUCGAGUUGUUUGGGAUUGCAGCUCUAAAUGGGUGGUAAACUCCAUCUAAAGCUAAAUAUUGGCGAGAGACCGAUAGCGAACAAGUACCGUGAGGGAAAGAUGAAAAGAACUUUGGAAAGAGAGUUAAACAGUAUGUGAAAUUGUUGAAAGGGAAACAGUUGAAGUCAGUCUUGUCUGUCGGGGAUCAGCUCUGCUUUUUU
rnacentral:rRNA from 1 species